UACGUAGGUGGCGAGCGUUAUCCGGAAUUAUUGGGUGUAAAGGGUGCGUAGACGGAAGAACAAGUUGGUUGUGAAAUCCCUCGGCUCAACUGAGGAACUGCAACCAAAACUAUUCUCCUUGAGUGUCGGAGAGGAAAGUGGAAUUCCUAGUGUAGCGGUGAAAUGCGUAGAUAUUAGGAGGAACACCAGUGGCGAAGGCGACUUUCUGGACGAUAACUGACGUUGAGGCACGAAAGUGUGGGGAGCAAACA
rnacentral:rRNA from 1 species